rnacentral:rRNA from 1 species
CCUACGGGAGGCAGCAGUAGGGAAUCUUCCGCAAUGGACGAAAGUCUGACGGAGCAACGCCGCGUGAACGAUGAAGGCCUUCGGGUCGUAAAGUUCUGUUGUUAGGGAAGAACAAGUGCUAGUUAAAUAAGCUGGCACCUUGACGGUACCUAACCAGAAAGCCACGGCUAACUACGCGCCAGCAGCCGCGGUAAUACGUAGGUGGCAAGCGUUGUCCGGAAUUAUUGGGCGUAAAGCGCGCGCAGGCGGUUUCUUAAGUCUGAUGUGAAAGCCCCCGGCUCAACCGGGGAGGGUCAUUGGAAACUGGGAAACUUGAGUGCAGAAGAGGAAAGUGGAAUUCCAAGUGUAGCGGUGAAAUGCGUAGAGAUUUGGAUGAACACCAGUGGCGAAGGCGACUUUCUGGUCUGUAACUGACGCUGAGGCGCGAAAGCGUGGGGAGCAAACAGGAUUAGAUACCCUGGUAGUCCACGCUGUAAACGAUGAGUGCUAAGUGUUAGAGGGUUUCCGCCCUUUAGNGCUGAAGUUAACGCAUUAAGCACUCCGCCUGGGGAUACGGUCGCAAGACUGAAACCUUAAAGAGUAAGUCGGACGUGAGAGACGCGACGACGACGACGACGGAGGAGGAG